rnacentral:tRNA from 1 species
GCCGGGGUGUCCCAGCGGUAAGGAGACGGUCUCGAAAACCGUUGCCCUAGUGGCUCGUGGGUUCGAAUCCCAUCCCCGGCGCCA